rnacentral:rRNA from 1 species
ACUCAAAUGAAUUGACGGGGGCUCACACAAGCGGUGGAGCAUGUGGCUUAAUUCGAGGCUACGCGAAGAACCUUACCCAGACUUAACGUGUUCGAAAGAGACAGCAGGUAGGACCCGGAAACGGGAACGAACGGUAUCCAAUCCGGAAGCUGUCAUAGGUGUUGCAUGGCUGUCGUCAGCUCGUGUCGUGAGAUGUCGGGUUAAGUCCCAUAACGAGCGAAACCCUUGCCCUUAGUUGCUACCCACAAGGGCACUCUAGGGGGACUGCCGGUGUCAAACCGGAGGAAGGUGGGGAUGACGUCAAGUCCUCAUGGCCUUUAUGUCUGGGGCUGCACACGUGCUACAAUGGCGUGAACAAAGGGACGCGACCGCGCGAGCGGAAGCCGACCCCAAAAAACACGCCCCAGUUCAGAUCGCAGGCUGCAACUCGCCUGCGUGAAGCCGGAAUCGCUAGUAAUCGCGGGUCAGCAACACCGCGGUGAAUGUGUUCCUGAGCCUUGCACACACCGCCCGU